GAAAAAACUAAAACAUGCCAGAGAAGCUCAGGAUGUGCCAUGUUCACCUUGAUAUUUGGGUUUUUGAAGAAAACCUGUAAAAGCUGUAAAACCCGAACCAUGAGGACACCCCAGGGGCACACAGUUCUGGAGGCUGAAAAUCAAGAUCAGGAUGCUGGCGUCUGACAAGGGCUUUCUUGCUGCAUCCUCACGUGGCGGAAAGUGGAAGGGCAAGAGAGAGCGAACCCAUCCUGAAAACCCCAGAUUACAGAGGCACUAAUCCAUUUAUGUGGGUGGAGCUCCCAUGACCCAAACACCUCCAAAGGCCCCACCUCCUGACAAUGUUGCACUGGGGAUUACAUUUCCAACACAUGAAUCUGGGGAGACAGAUUCAGACCACAGCAGAUGUCAAGGCUGGUUCAAAGGACAAUGUGAAGAACAAAGGCAUGCUGAAAUGAAUUUGAUAAUAGAUGCAAACUUGGGUAACAUCCUACAGGACAAUAAGGUGUAAGUAAUACUUGGGAUCAUCUUUCCUUAGACAUGAGCAUCAGUUGCAUCUACAGUGAACAACACUGAUUACAUUGCCAUAGAGGAAGCUUUGUGUUGCUCUCAGAUAAGAAGCAUGCACACUGCUGUAUUCUCUACAUGAACUUCUAUUCUACAGUUGUAAAAUAGUUCAGUCAAUAGAAAGCCAACCACAGAGACACACCUAGUGGUUUGUUUUUGCCUAUUUUUAAGUUUUUAAUAUUUUUUAUAACAGAUAUAACAUUGAAUCCAUAGUGAAGUUAAUCACUUUUUAAUUACCCAUUUUUCUAAUAAUUAAAUCAACAAGGGAGUCUCCUUUGGGUACCAAUCAAUCUCUAACCUUUCUAAACUUCUUGUUUGAAAAAGAGAAAGGCAGAAGUGGGCCUCAAGCAUGACGCCUUCAACUGACUGUACAAGCUAGCUGCAGUUUGAUGAUACUGUUGAAUUUUCUUUAUUAUAUUGUUACCUUUUAUUAAUGGCAAUGGAUAUAUUAGUUUUCCAUUUUUGGUUGAGAUAUGAG
rnacentral:lncRNA from 10 species